rnacentral:rRNA from 1 species
AGAAUCAACGCUGGCGGCGUGCCUAACACAUGCAAGUCGCACGAGAAAGGGACUUCGGUCCUGAGUACAGUGGCGCACGGGUGAGUAACACGUGAAUAAUCUACCUCCGAGUGGGGAAUAACUGAGAGAAAUCUUAGCUAAUACCGCAUAACACUUACGAGUCAAAGCAGCAAUGCGCUUGGAGAGGAGUUCGCGGCAGAUUAGUUAGUUGGCGGGGUAAUGGCCCACCAAGACGAUGAUCUGUAUCC